GCUUGGUACAGCAUGUAAAUUACUCAUCUUUGUGAAGUUGAAGGGGUUUUUGCAAUGAGUUCCUAAAGAGGCCAUAUUAGCACCUGGAUAUAUUUUUAAUACCUUUAAAAUGCCCAAGAGUGAGUCUAGAUCACGUUCAAGAAGUAAGAGUGGCAGCCCGCGCCGGAAACACAAGAAAGAGCGCAGUUAUCGCCGGCGAACGAGAAGUCGUUCUCCCAGCGCGACGCCAUCAUCAACCAAGAGAAAAAGUCGGGAUCGAUCACCUCGGCGCCGCUCUCGAUCACCACGCAGGAAGAAGAGAUAUUCGAGAAGUAGAUCUCGCUCUCCCAGUGUUGAUCGAUUUGGUCGUUCUAUAGUGAAAAGAAAAGAGGACGAUCCUGGCUCGAAACGAAAAGAGGAAGAAGAACGAUUACAGGAGAUGGAACGACAGAGAAAAAUUCGAGCCACUGAGAAAGAAAAGAUGAUGAUUGAGGAAGAAACUCAAAAACGAGUUGAAGAUCUUGUUGCUAAGAGAGUGGAGGAAGAACUUGCAAAAAGAAAAGAUGAAAUUGAUGCUGAAGUCAUGAAGAGAGUAGAGGAAGCUAAAAGAGUGAUGGAGAAGCAGAUGGUGGAAGAAUUUGAAAAAAGGCGUCAGGAGCAAAUCGAAGAACAACAAGUGAAAGAGAUACCUUUGACGGAUCAGUUGAACAGGAAAACAUUAUCAAGAGCUAGCAGUCAGUCUUUUCAAGCAUUUGGAUCUAAUCCUACCCUUCUCUUGUGCCGUUCUAUCCUUGAACAUGACAUUCAAUCUAGACAUUCACAAAAGACUGCAAUUACUCAAGAACUGCGCAAUUUUUAAAAUUGCUGUUUGCCUAGAAACUUUUGCCUAGUGGAAAAAAAUUAUUUAGGGCACUUCUUGAAGGAACAUUCCACUUUGUGCCAGCACUAAUUUGAAACUUUUUCUGGGAGAGUUCAAGUCUUUGCAGACUGUGAAGGAUUUCCUCAAGGAGACUUUGCUUGGAGCAUUUCAUAGGAAUUGUUAGGCGGAUAUGUGAGGAGGAACGUCGUAAAAUUACUCUGCUAGAGAGCAAAGUUGAUGAACUCCAAUUAAGACUAACUGAAGCGAAUCAAAAGUUGGCAGAAGAACGUUUACAAAUGGUGGAAGAAAGAAGAACAUUAA
rnacentral:misc_RNA from 1 species